AAUCAAGAAAGAAUAUUAAAAUGGCGUCUUCCAAAGUAUCUUCCAUGCUUCUCUUUCUCUUUCUUCUCGUUCUUGUGUUUCACCAAAUGGAUAAAGCCCUUGGUGAACAAAUCCAGCUCAGCAACCGCAAACUUAGUUAGUCUUUUUUCGUAUUUAAAUAAUGUCAGCGUUUUUAUUUUAUUAGCUUGGUUUAUUGAGAAGUUAUAAUCAAAAUUUUGUUUUUGGUUAUCUUUCAUUCCGCGUUUUUGUCAUUAAUUUUUUUUAAAAUGGUAUAACAAACUCACAUAUAUUUUAUAAAAUUUUGAUUGCUUUUAGUUUGUAUUCUAAAUAAAUUAUUUUAAUUUUAAAAACAAAAGAUAAAAUCGAUAUAGUUUUGUUUACUGUUCUAGAGCAAAAUUUACUUUAAAAAUGAAAAAAUAAAGCAAGUUUCAUUGUACCUUGAUAGGAUUUUGAGUUGGGAUUAUCCGAAUUGAUAGACAAAUGACUUUACGAAACUUUAACGCUAAAUCACAUAGGUGUAAUUAACUCGUUUGGGUGUUUGUUGUGCAGA
rnacentral:lncRNA from 1 species